CUUAUUUUAUUACAAAUCAGAAGAAAUACAAUGGAGAAUUAAAUAGUUCUCAGGCCAGCCAGGAGCAUGGUAAACAACACCAGCCACAGAGCUAACUUAUGGAGAUCCUCAGGAGAUUGAAAACCAGAAGUAGGCACACGAGGAACAAAGCGAAGGCUGCCAGACUACUGCAGAGAGGGAGACUGAAAGGAGAGCUUGAAAAGUAAACAGACGCACAAACAAGAGAGAAACCGGACAUGCAAAUAUUAUCAGGAUCCAGGUCAAUCUAGAGGCUUCCAUCCGCUCCGCAAGCACACGUGUCCUAUAGCAAAACUGAAAAAAAAAAAGGGAAAAAUGAUGCUGAUUGGCCGACCAUGAGUUUGGAUCUCCUGAUCUGCUUGAAAACAUCCCAGUUACAAUUGAGGAGUUGGCGCUUAUGCUACAGUUCCUUUUGGAUGGAGUUGCUCAGAAAGUUCAUAAAGAAUUGAUGCCAGGGAAGAAUUUACUUUUCAGUGACCUUUUUAUCAAACAGCACAAUUUUUAGAACACAUCUUACUUCCCUUAUUGCUUUGCCUUCCAGGAAAAUUAGAGCUAAAUAUAGCGAUCAAUUAAUGUAAGCGAUCUAACUGCUGGUACCACUAGUUCUUUCUUUCUGAGUGAUGUGUGCUGCUCAUUUUUAGUUGUUAAAACUCUUUGCCGGGUGCAUAUGCGUGCAUGC